rnacentral:rRNA from 1 species
UACGUAGGGGGCUAGCGUUGUCCGGAUUUAUUGGGCGUAAAGAGCGUGUAGGCGGCCAGAUAGGUCUGCUGUGAAAACUCGAGGCUCAACCUCGAGAUGUCGGCGGAAACCAUCUGGCUAGAGUCCGGAAGAGGAGAGUGGAAUUCCUGGUGUAGCGGUGAAAUGCGCAGAUAUCAGGAAGAACACCUAUGGCGAAGGCAGCUCUCUGGGACGGUACUGACGCUGAGACGCGAAAGCGUGGGGAGCGAACAGG